UAUACGGGAGCAAUAAGGGUUACGAGUAAUCCGAUGAGAGUACUGUAUGAAUAAGGAUCGGCUAACUCCGUGCCAGCAGCCGCGGUAAUACGGAGGAUCCGAGCGUUAUCCGGAAUUAUUGGGUUUAAAGGGUGCGUAGGCGGCCAUUUAAGUCAGCGGUGAAAUUUUGCAGCUUAACUGUAACAGUGCCGUUGAUACUGUUUGGCUUGGAUUUGGUUGUAGUGUGCGGAAUGUGUGGUGUAGCGGUGAAAUGCUUAGAUAUCACACAGAACACCGAUUGCGAAGGCAGCACACUAAGUCAUUAUUGACGCUGAGGCACGAAAGUGUGGGGAUCAAAAGGGAUUAGAUACCCUGGUAGUCCACACUGUAAACGAUGAAUAACUCCCUGUGGGCGAUACACAGUCGGUGGCCAAGCGAAAGCAUUAAGUUAUCCACCUGGGGAGUACGACCGCAAGGUUGAAACUCAAAGGAAUUGACGGGGGCCCGCACAAGCGGAGGAACAUGUGGUUUAAUUCGAUGAUACGCGAGGAACCUUACCCGGGCUCGAACGGUGCAUGAAUAUACGAGAGAUUGUAUAGUCCUUCGGGACAUGUAUCGAGGUGCUGCAUGGUUGUCGUCAGCUCGUGCCGUGAGGUGUCGGCUUAAGUGCCAUAACGAGCGCAACCCUUGUCAUUAGUUGCCAUCAGGUCAAGCUGGGGACUUUAAUGAGACUGCCACCGUAAGGUGUGAGGAAGGGGGGGAUGACGUCAAAUCAGCACGGCCCUUAUGUCCGGGGCGACACACGUGUUACAAUGGGAGGUACAGAGGGCAGCUAUCCGGUGACGGAAUGCUAAUCUCCAAAACCUUUCUCAGUUCGGAUUGGAGCCUGCAACUCGACUCCAUGAAGGUGGAUUCGCUAGUAAUCGCGCAUCAGCCAUGGCGCGGUGA
rnacentral:rRNA from 1 species